rnacentral:rRNA from 1 species
UACGUAGAGGGCAAGCGUUGUCCGGAUUCAUUGGGCGUAAAGAGCGCGUAGGCGGCCAGGUAGGUCGGUUGUGAAAACUGGAGGCUCAACCUUCAGAGGUCGACCGAAACCAUCUGGCUAGAGUCCGGGAGAGGAGAGUGGAAUUCCUGGUGUAGCGGUGAAAUGCGCAGAUAUCAGGAAGAACACCCGUGGCGAAAGCGGCUCUCUGGAACGGUACUGACGCUGAGACGCGAAAGCGUGGGGAGCGAACAGG